UACGAAGGGUGCAAACGUUGCUCGGAAUUAUUGGGCGUAAAGCGCACGUAGGCGGCUUGGCAAGUCGGAUGUGAAAUCCCUCGGCUCAACCAAGGAAGUGCAUCCGAAACUGCUGAGCUUGAGUACCGGAGAGGAUGGCGGAAUUCCCCAAGUAGAGGUGAAAUUCGUAGAUAUGGGGAGGAACACCGGUGGCGAAGGCGGCCAUCUGGACGGAUACUGACGCUGAGACGCGAAAGCGUGGGGAGCAAACAGG
rnacentral:rRNA from 1 species